rnacentral:rRNA from 1 species
UACGGAGGGUGCAAGCGUUAUCCGGAUUUACUGGGCUUAAAGGGUGCGCAGGCGGAUAUGUAAGUCAGUGGUGAAAUCUUCCCGCUUAACGGGAAAACUGCCAUUGAUACUAUAUAUCUUGAAUGCUGUGGAGGUAAGCAGAAUAUGUCAUGUAGCGGUGAAAUGCUUAGAGAUGACAUAGAAUACCUAUUGCGAAGGCAGCUUACUACGCAGAUAUUGACGCUCAUGCACGAAAGCGUGGGGAUCAAACAGG